rnacentral:rRNA from 1 species
UACGUAGGCAGCGAGCGUUGUUCGGAGUUACUGGGCGUAAAGCGCGUGUAGGUGGCGAGGCAAGUCGGGUGUGAAAGCCCUGGGCUCAACCCAGGAAGUGCACUCGAUACUGCCUAGCUAGAGUCCCGGAGAGGUUGGUGGAACUCUCGGUGUAGAGGUGAAAUUCGUAGAUAUCGAGAAGAACACCGGUGGCGAAGGCGGCCAACUGGACGGUGACUGACACUGAGACGCGAAAGCGUGGGGAGCAAACAGG